UACGGGAGGCAGCAGGGGGGAAUAUUGCACAAUGGGCGCAAGCCUGAUGCAGCCAUGCCGCGUGUAUGAAAAAGGCCUUCGGGUUGUAAAGUACUUUCAGUCGUGAGGAAGGUGUUAAGGUUAAUAACCUUAGCAAUUGACGUUAGCGACAGAAGAAGCACCGGCUAACUCCGUGCCAGCAGCCGCGGUAAUACGGAGGGUGCGAGCGUUAAUCGGAAUUACUGGGCGUAAAGGGCACGCAGGCGGUUAAUUAAGUUGGAUGUGAAAUCCCCGGGCUUAACCUGGGAAUGGCAUUCAAGACUGGUUAGCUAGAGUCUUGUAGAGGGGGGUAGAAUUCCAUGUGUAGCGGUGAAAUGCGUAGAGAUGUGGAGGAAUACCGGUGGCGAAAGGCGGCCCCCUGGACAAAGACUGACGCUCAUGUGCGAAAGCGUGGGGAGCAAACAGGGAUUAGAUACC
rnacentral:rRNA from 1 species